rnacentral:rRNA from 1 species
UCUUCGGAUUCUAGUGGCGGACGGGUGAGUAACGCGUAAGAAUCUAACUUCAGGACGGGGACAACAGUUGGAAACGACUGCUAAUACCCGAUGUGCCGCAAGGUGAAACCUAAUUGGCCUGAAGAAGAGCUUGCGUCUGAUUAGCUAGUUGGUGGGGUAAGAGCCUACCGAGGCGACGAUCAGUAGCUGGUCUGAGAGGAUGAGCAGCCACACUGGGACUGAGACACGGCCCAGACUCCUACGGGAGGCAGCAGUGGGGAAUUUUCCGCAAUGGGCGAAAGCCUGACGGAGCAACGCCGCGUGAGGGAGGAAGGUCUUUGGAUUGUAAACCUCUUUUCUCAAGGAAGAAGUUCUGACGGUACUUGAGGAAUCAGCCUCGGCUAACUCCGUGCCAGCAGCCGCGGUAAUACGGGGGAGGCAAGCGUUAUCCGGAAUUAUUGGGCGUAAAGCGUCCGCAGGUGGUCAGCCAAGUCUGCCGUCAAAUCAGGUUGCUUAACGACCUAAAGGCGGUGGAAACUGGCAGACUAGAGAGCAGUAGGGGUAGCAGGAAUUCCCAGUGUAGCGGUGAAAUGCGUAGAGAUUGGGAAGAACAUCGGUGGCGAAAGCGUGCUACUGGGCUGUAUCUGACACUCAGGGACGAAAGCUAGGGGAGCGAAAGGGAUUAGAUACCCCUGUAGUCCUAGCCGUAAACGAUGGAUACUAGGCGUGGCUUGUAUCGACCCGAGCCGUGCCGAAGCUAACGCG